rnacentral:rRNA from 1 species
UUGACGGGGCCCGCACAAGCGGUGGAGCAUGUGGUUUAAUUCGAAGCAACGCGAAGAACCUUACCAGGUCUUGACAUCCCUGACAACCCGAGAGAUCGGGCGUUCCCCUUCGGGGGGACAGGGUGACAGGUGGUGCAUGGUUGUCGUCAGCUCGUGUCGUGAGAUGUUGGGUUAAGUCCCGCAACGAGCGCAACCCUCGACCUUAGUUGCCAGCAUUCAGUUGGGCACUCUAAGGUGACUGCCGGCUAAAAGUCGGAGGAAGUGGGGAUGACGUCAAAUCAUCAUGCCCCUUAUGACCUGGGCUACACACGUGCUACAAUGGGCGGUACAAAGGGUCGCGGAACCCGCGAGGGGGAGCCAAUCCCAAAAAGCCGCUCUCAGUUCGGAUUGCAGGCUGCAACUCGCCUGCAUGAAGCCGGAAUCGCUAGUAAUCGCAGGUCAGCAUACUGCGGUGAAUACGUUCCCGGGUCUU